rnacentral:rRNA from 1 species
GGUGUAGCGGUGAAAAUGCGUAGAGAUCUGGAGGAAUACCCGGUGGCGGAAGGCGGCCCCCCCUGGACGAAGACUGACGCUCAGGUGCGAAAGCGUGGGGAGCAAACAGGAUUAGAUACCCCUGGUAGUCCCACGCCGUAAAACGAUGUCGACUUGGAGGUUGUGCCCUUGAGGCGUGGCUUCCGGAGUUAACGCGUUAAGUCGACCGCCUGGGGAGUACGGCCGCCAAGGUUAAAACUCAAAUGAAUUGACGGGGGCCCGCACAAGCGGUGGAGCAUGUGGUUUAAUUCGAUGCAACGCGAAGAACCUUACCUGGUCUUGACAUCCACGGAAGUUUUCAGAGAUGAGAAUGUGCCUUCGGGAACCGUGAGACAGGUGCUGCAUGGCUGUCGUCAGCUCGUGUUGUGAAAUGUUGGGUUAAGUCCCGCAACGAGCGCAACCCUUAUCCUUUGUUGCCAGCGGUCCGGCCGGGAACUCAAAGGAGACUGCCAGUGAUAAACUGGAGGAAGGUGGGGAUGACGUCAAGUCAUCAUGGCCCUUACGACCAGGGCUACACACGUGCUACAAUGGCGCAUACAAAGAGAAGCGACCUCGCGAGAGCAAGCGGACCUCAUAAAGUGCGUCGUAGUCCGGAUUGGAGUCUGCAACUCGACUCCAUGAAGUCGGAAUCGCUAGUAAUCGUGGAUCAGAAUGCCACGGUGAAUACGUUCCCCCCCCCUUGUCCACACCGCCCGUCACACCAUGGGAGUGGGUUGCUAAUUAGAUUGUAGGUAGCUUUAACUUCGGGAG